AGUGCAGGAAAUAGCUCAUGUUAAAUACGUUCACUUUUCAGUUUUCCUUUCUUCUAAAAUGGAGCUUGACAGAUUGGGCUUUUCAGCUCCCCCCCCUUUUUUUUCACCACCUCUGCUUUCUACCUCAGAAAUACUCUUCAGGAAGCAGGAGUUAAUCUUGGGCCAGUGAGCGUUUCCAGCUCAGCUUCAGCGUGGUCCGUGCCCGGGGUCCGGGCAGACACCUCCGGUGGAAGGGGGGCAUUCGCUCUCAGUGCCCCUUCAGUUCUUGUUCUCGCUGACACUGGCAUCAGCAAUGAUUACCGAGCUGAUCUUCUGGUGUGGGCACUUGUCCAGUGGGAGACCACCAAACUCAUGUCACUCAAUACGAGCUGGAGUUCCUCGCGAAGCUUCACAAGAAGGCCAGCCCUACCGGAAACCCCUGCUUUAAAUGAAGGAAUCGCUCGGACGAAAGGAGCGGUUUUCCGAAGGCAGCUGGAUCAAAGUGAAGUCACUCAGAAUAGCCCGCACGCAGGUUUCCUUUUGCUCCUAGGUUCACGCAGAGUGUUAGGCGCUCGGUGGCCCGGUCCGGCCCCUCCAGCGAGGAGACGUUCGGCGGGACACUCCGCGAGGAGCUCCUCUCUCUGCUAGCCCUGAGAAUAUCCUGGGAUCUCUCUCUCUCUUUUUUUUUUUUUUUUAAGACUUUAAAAAUAAUUUGGUGGAUCUCUAAUCUAGUUAUCUGCUGUAACUGCAAUAUGCGCUGUAUGUCUGACUCCCACAGACGAAGGCCUCUGUUUCCUUUCUGCCAGUACCUUAGUAUCUGCCUUGCCCAGGAGUCUGCUGAUGAAGACUUCCUGUUUGUUUUGAGUCACUGCUGGAGUGAUAAAUAUACUUCAGCUUUUCUCCUCCGAGAGGAAAGAAACCAGCUGCCCCGAACUACAGAGAAAAUAUGUAGAAAUUCCACCAAAGGGCCCCGUUAUCAUGGAGCUUCUAUGGCAGCAUGAAAAAAUGAGUAUUACAAGCUACGACAAAGGAGCAAUUUACAUAUUAAAACGGCCUUCCGCCCGCAUGGACUUAAGUUGUUUGCCUUUAAUCAUUUAUUUUCACUCUAUAACUUUAAUUUGGAGUGUUUUGGAAAUAAAUAAAUAAAUGCAAAACCCCCA
rnacentral:lncRNA from 1 species